UAGGAAAUAGGCGCUUCCGCAUAAUCGGUAUGUGUCGCGCACUAAACUGUUUACGUAUGCACCGGUUAACAACGUCGAUGUGUUCCGGCACUCGCAGUCAGAAAGGUAAGUUUUAUUUCUCAAAAUAUUCUGUUAAGUACUAUUUGUCAACUUAUAAACACAUGUUCAGUCCAAACUUACGAUAUCAAAGAUUGAAUUUAACCCGGAUUUUUUAGCGAAGCCAUUUGAAAUCAUUGAUUUUAAAGGUGUGUAGUUCUGUUCUGUCAUUCUCUAUUCAUAACUUGUGUUUACACGAAUCUUCAAAAUGUGCAUAUUUAUGUGGGUUUCAUAGGUAAACCAGUGGCGCAUGGAAGCUAAACAUACUGUUAAUGGCAGUUGAAGCUGUGUGUUCACUGUUGGCACAUUGAAUGAUUGACAGCAUUGGAUAAAUAAUGCUCUAUUGGAUAAAUACGUAAAGUACAUUGGACAGCUGAGAUUGUGGUGUGAACAGCUGAGAUUGUGUUUUGGACAGCUGAGAUUGUGACUUGGACAGCUGAGAUUGUGGUGUGGACAGCUGAGAUUGGUGUGGACAGCUGAGAUUGUGGUGUUGACAUCUGAAAUUGGGAUUUGGACAGCUGAGAUUGUGACCUGGACAGCUGAGAUUGUGCUGUGGACAGCUAAAAUUGUGGUGUGGACUACUGAUAUUGUGGUGUUGACAACAUAUUGUGGUGUGCACCUGUGAUAUUGUGGUGUGAUGGUUUAAAGUAGCAAAGGUAAAGAACGUUUGACAGCUUAGAUUGUGGAGUGGACAGCUGAUAUUGUGGUGUGGACAGCUGAGAUUGUCAUGUCGACUACUUAUAGUGUGGCUUGCAGAGCUGAUAUUGUGGUGUGAUGCUUUAAAGUACUAAAGAUUAAAUAUGAAGAUCAUAGUGUGUUUGAUGUAAGCAUAGACGAGGUGUGUGAGGACCUGAGAAAUGGCACGCUUCAGUUCAUAUAGAUUUAUUCCUUACUACCUUCCUGUCAACUAUAUCUUCCACAGCAUGAUUCAAUCUAGUCCCAAUCAUUGCCUCUGGUCACCAGAUGGUCCGUCCACAGAGUCACAAGCAACAGAUACUAAAAUCGGCAAAGUACAUGUACUUCAGACUUCCAGAGGAUAUUGUUAACAAUGAUGAUUUGAUGUUAAAAAGAAAAUGUAUUUGAAUAGCUAUAUUUCUCUUGUGUCACUUGGGUGUCAAAGGUCAUUUCAGAGAUUGUCCGGGCUGUAACUUUGCAACGCAUAAACGGGCUUAAAUGUUUGCUCAGCUAGACAGUGUUGUGUUGAACUCCCAGUCCUUUUGACCGCUGGUGGGCUCGACAUGUUUCCUGUGGGCAUUUAGUUUAUAUUGCAUAUACUUCAAGUAGAUACACAUUUUAGAAUACCGGUAGAUAACCAAAUAAGA